UAAUAUAGACCAUUCAUUCAUUCAUCAGUAGUCAAUCUUCACUCCAUUAUUAAAAAAAAAUUGAUCCAUGUUUAAUCUGGUUGGCUCCUUAAGAUACAAGGAUUUUACAGUGAGUGCAUUAUCCAAUAUAUCGAAAUUCAGAGAAUAAAAACUUAAAAAAAAAAAAAAAGCCUGUGUGCGCUCAGCGCUGUGAGUGUAAUGAGUAAUGAAUGACUUUCUUAUAUUCGUGUCGAAGAAUUAUAAUUUUAUGACCUUACUGAGUUACAUGGACCUCUUCAAUUAUUC
rnacentral:lncRNA from 1 species